UCACAAGGUGCCAGGCUGAUGCUUAGUUUCGGUUUUCAGUUUCCUAAGCGAAUAAGCCACUGACAGAGGAGGGAGCGAAAAUGAGAGAAAGAGAAAGGAAAAUGAAUAAUUAGCAUUAAAACGACAAAUUAUGUGGUGUCAAUCAUUCCACAUAAACACAAGGCAUCAAGGGAGGACAACCUGUCACACAUUCGCGGGGAAUACGAACAUUCUAGCGAACGAGAGACUGCUGCGCCGUCAGGCUCGUCAGUGCGCGGCCCGGAGACGCAAGAGAGAGUCCGUCAGCUUGUGCUCUCCUGAAAGUUUGACAUUGACAGUGGCGACUUUUUUAGGUGUACGUUCGAGUACCCAGGCCCACGAACGGAGGCUGGUUUCUGUCGCCUCUUCGUUUACCUCCGGUGCUGAGCUCACCGCCGGACUGAUCUGCUUGGAGAGAGACACGAUCAUUUCCUGCGGGACCCCUGGACCCUGCCUGCCGGGACCCCGUCUGCGGAGCUACCGGGCGACUGACUUUCCUCCGGUGCUAGGCCCACUGGCGGACCGACCCUCUGUUGUCCUGCUCCCGUUGGCUAGCUCUGCUUGCCUCCCGUCUGCGCGUGGACACCGGUUCGACCGAGUGGAGUUGGAUUCGUGAGUACACUGACUUACACACACCCUCGGUUGUCGCCAGGAGCGACCGGCGAAUCGGACGUUCCGUGCAGCGGUUGCUGCCUUGCUUGCAGCUCGGAGAGCUGUCACUCGUGCACCACCGAGCUCCCACGGAAAGCGCUUGGGGGGUUAUGUAUUUAUUUUGUAUAUUUAUAUGUCAGCACAUGAUUGUUUUAUCUGUGUAUUAGUGACUAGUGUCUUCCACAUUGGUAGCUCAACUGCUUAGCAGCUAGCUGUAAGCUAACAGGCUAGCCGAGCGUUACUGUUAACGUUCGGUUAAUUUCAGUCAGGGUAGCUGCUAGACAUUGGUUUCACCCUCCAGUUCACUUCUUAUUUGAACCUCUUUAAUGAAUAAAUGUUUUAUUGUU